UGUUUCCCGAUUUUAAAAGGAGCUAGUGGCUUUAUUUUAGUUAUUGUUUCAUAAUUAUUAAUAAUAGGCUGUUGGUGGUGAAAUGUUAUUCGUCUUUAGUGGUUUCUGGUUUUCCAAGAAAUGAAUUUAAUUCAUGCUCCUUGUUUAGAUUUUUACUGUUAUUUAUUUGUCUUUAUUUGGUGUUAAGAUUAAGGGGGAUUAGCUCCUUAUUUUAUUUUUAUAAUUUUUUGUGGAUUUAGUUUUGUGGAUUUUAUGGUGAUUUUCAAUUUGAUUAUGUUAAAAUUUUAUUUGUCUCUUUAUUUAUUUAUGGUUUAUUUAAUUAUUUAUUGGAAUGUUUUCUUUGCUUUAUGGUUUGGAUUGUAAUUAUUAUGGAAUUAGUAAAUUGUUUGUUGAAUUGUUUGUAUAUGUGUUUAAUUUCUUUUGAGGAAUUAGGCAAAUUUUUGUGUCCGCCUGUUUAACAAAAACAUCUUUUCUCGUUAGUUUUUGAAGUAUGGCCUGCCCACUGACUUGGAGUUAAAGGGCCGCGGUAUUUUGACCGUGCAAAGGUAGCAUAAUCAUUAGUUCUUUAAUUGUGAUCUGGAAUGAAUGGCUUGACGAGACACAAGCUGUCUUAAUUUGGAAUAGUUUUAUUGAAUUUGGUUUUUGAGUUAAAAUUCUUAAAUGUUUUUAUGGGACGAGAAGACCCUAUAGAGUUUGACAUUUGGUUUAUUUAUUUGGUUGUUUGUUAUUUGUUGUUGCUGAGUGGGCCAUUUGUUUUGUUGGGGUGAUGAGAGGAAUAUGGUUCAACUCCUCUUUAUUUUGUUUAUAUUGAUUUAUAGUUGCUUGAU
rnacentral:rRNA from 1 species